AUGAACGCUAGCGACAGGCCUAACACAUGCAAGUCGAGGGGCAGCACGAAGUAAGCUUGCUUGCUUUGGUGGCGACCGGCGCACGGGUGCGUAACAGGUGUGCAAUCUGUCCAUAAUCGGGGAAUAGCCCAGCGAAAGUUGGAUUAAUGCUCCAUGUGAGUUUUAGAGGCAUCUCUUUAAUUUGAAACGUAAGGAUUAUGGGUGAGCACGCUUCUGAUUAGGUAGUUGGUGAGGUAACGGCUCACCAAGCCGACGAUCAGUAGGGGUUCUGAGAGGAAGGUCCCCCACAUUGGAACUGAGACACGGUCCAAACUCCUACGGGAGGCAGCAGUGAGGAAUAUUGGUCAAUGGGCGCAAGCCUGAACCAGCCAAGUCGCGUGAAGGAUGAAGGUUCUAUGGAUUGUAAACUUCUUUUGUCUGAGGGUAAAAAGCGGACGUGUCCGUUCUUGCAAGUAUCAGACGAAUAAGCAUCGGCUAACUCCGUG
rnacentral:rRNA from 1 species